CCAGAGCUGGGCGGGUUAAGGAGGAGGAUGGCGCCGUCCUGCAGAUGUGCGGGGACGCGCGCCCGCCGCAACGUGAGGCUCAUAGGCCACACGCAACUCUGAGCAUUGGCCAGGACCUGUAGUAGCCAACAGGACACUUAAUAACUGAUGUAUAGGUGCGCACUGUGUGUCCAGAGCUUUACGUUAACCACCUCACUGUGUCAUCUCGCUGAGGUUGUGUGGUUUACUAUUACUGCUAUUAGCGCAUUUUUAAGCGGGAAACCUGAGGCAUGAGGAGGGCCUGCCCACGGUCAGCGCUACAGAAUUCAGGCCCGGCGUAGCUACUUCCAACCCUUCAGAUCUUCACUUCCUGUUGGAACUGUCCUCUAGACUGUAGCCUCUGCCAGAAAUAAUUCAUUUUGAAUACCCUUGUAACACCCAAUUCCUUGAUCUCCUAUCAUUC
rnacentral:lncRNA from 1 species